rnacentral:tRNA from 1 species
GCCGAAGUGGCGGAAUUGGCAGACGCGCUAGCUUCAGGUGCUAGUGUUCGCAAGGAUGUGGGGGUUCGAAUCCCCCCUUCGGCA